CCGAGUUAUACAACUCAUCAACCCUGUGAACAUACCUAUAACGUUGCCUCGGCGGGAACAGACGGCCCCGUAACACGGGCCGCCCCCGCCAGAGGACCCCCUAACUCUGUUUCUAUAAUGUUUCUUCUGAGUAAGCAAGCAAAUAAAUUA
rnacentral:misc_RNA from 1 species